AGUCAUAAUUUCGACUUUCAAAGUCAUAAUUAUGAGAUUCAAAGUCAUAAUUAUUAGAUUCAAAGUCAUAAUUUUSACUUUUCCAAAAAAGUAGACCUGCUGUCUUGUAUGAGAUUUACACAGUAUUCCAUUUGAUCUGUCUAAUCAGGGAAACACAGAUUUUUCUCCUCAUAAUGGAUUGUAAACAAAUUGAGGAGUAUUUCAGAUGUGGUUUAACCAAUGAUGAAAUUCUUGCUUUGCUGGCUGAGGUUYAUGGGGUUAUUCUUAGCAAGAGGACACUAGAAAGGAUUCUUAAUAAGAAGAAACUUUGGCGCCGAAAGAACAAAACUGAUGUGAGUGKAGUGGCAGCUUUCAUUCGUCAGCAACUUGAAACCUCUGGACAAUGUCACGGAUAUCGAUGGAUGCACCAAAAAUGCUGGAUGAAUGGCAUUGUUACAGACAGGGAAACAGUUCGAGUCCUUUUACGCUUACUAGAUGGUGAAGGAGUGGACCUAAGGUCAAGAAAUCGACUGAGGAGACGGAUUUACUAUAUUCGUGGUCCAAACUAUGUUUGGCAUAUGGACGGCUAUGAUAAGCUGAAACCAUGCAGCUGACAUGCAAAGAUAUUUGCAUCUUACAGAAGAUCAACCUGAAAGUGAUCAUGUAAUAUUUGGUUCAAGCACUGGAAAUCAGCGGAUUGAAAGAUGGUUGUUGACCCUGUGAAGUGAAUGUAUCCAGUCCUGGAUGCAACUCUUUGACAAACUGAAAGCAGAUGGUCACUUCUCGGACAACUUCUUGGACAAAGCCUUGAUYCAGUUCUGUUUUCUCCACAUAAUACAGAAAGAACUAAAUGAAGUUGCUUCAGCUUGGRACCACCACAGGAUACGUCCAGCACACAAUUCACGAAGUCCUCAUGGGCGACCAUUCAUAAUGUACACAGUACCUCAGGCGUAUGGAACCAGAGACUAUCUACACAGCAUUGACCUGAACAGGGUUGAAGCCUGCUUGGAAAACUGUGUUUUCAAAGACUUUCCAUGCGAUGAAGAUGUCUUCAGUAUYUGUGUGGACCUGAUUUCAGAGCAUAACCUGGAUGUCACAGAUGAUGUGUUUGCAACAACUGAUCUGUACAUAAGACUCAGACAGCUGAUUACCAGAGAUUUGGAGCUGCAGUGAUAAAUGUAAAAGCAUUUUGUUGCGUUGACAGUUUGCUACCUCRUCACUAAUUUGGACUUCAGUAGAUAUUUGAUGACAUUCUCAGAGUGCCUGCAUUUGCUUCAACACAUUGUUACACCAGAAUAAAUAUGGGUCAAAACCAUUCACAAGAUCUGUAACUAAGCAA